rnacentral:rRNA from 1 species
UCCUCCCUACGGGAGGCAGCAGUGAGGAAUAUUGGUCAAUGGGCGGGAGCCUGAACCAGCCAAGUCGCGUGAGGGAAGACGGUCCUACGGAUUGUAAACCUCUUUUGCCGGGGAGCAACGGGGUCCUUGCGAGGUCCCAAUGAGAGUACCCGGAGAAAAAGCAUCGGCUAACUCCGUGCCAGCAGCCGCGGUAAUACGGAGGAUGCGAACGUUAUCCGGAUUUAUUGGGUUUAAAGGGUGCGUAGGCGGGACGGUAAGUCAGCGGUAAAAAUGCGGAGCUCAACUCCGUCGAGCCGUUGAAACUG